rnacentral:misc_RNA from 1 species
GCAAACUUGGUCAUUUAGAGGAAGUAAAAGUCAUAACAAGGUUUCCGUAGGUGAACCUGCGGAAGGAUCAUUAAUGAUGCCCUCGACGUCUUCUUGACUGGUAGGGUUGUGCCGCGACUCUCGGGAGCCGGCCUCCAUCUCACACACCGUGAACUGUGGCCUCGGCCAUUUACACAAACUGUUAGUAAUGAAUGUAACAUCAUAAACAAACAUAAAACUUUUAACAACGGAUCUCUUGGCUCUCGCAUCGAUGAAGAACGCAGC